CGAUGAACAAGUUUCUAUGG
rnacentral:snRNA from 1 species